rnacentral:rRNA from 1 species
UUCUAUGGAGAGUUUGAUCCUGGCUCAGGACGAACGCUGGCGGCGUGCCUAAUACAUGCAAGUCGAGCGGACGAAUCAAAAGCUUGCUUUUGAUUCGUUAGCGGCGGACGGGUGAGUAACACGUGGGCAACCUGCCCUGUAGACGGGGAUAACACCGGAGAAAUCGGUGCUAAUACCGGAUACACGAAAUGUCGCAUGAC